rnacentral:rRNA from 1 species
UACAGAGGUGGCAAGCGUUGUUCGGAAUUACUGGGCGUAAAGGGCUCGUAGGCGGCCAUCUAAGUCGGACGUGAAAUCCCUCGGCUUAACCGGGGAACUGCGUCUGAUACUGGAUGGCUUGAGUUUGGGAGAGGGAUGCGGAAUUCCAGGUGUAGCGGUGAAAUGCGUAGAUAUCUGGAGGAACACCGGUGGCGAAGGCGGCAUCCUGGACCAACACUGACACUGAGGAGCGAAAGCCAGGGGAGCAAACGGG